rfam:Myotis brandtii contig316351, whole genome shotgun sequence.
GAUGGUUCUCGGGUGACACACCCCAGAAUCGGGCUUUCUCCUCUCUGGUUCCAGGUGCAUCACCAGAGAACCACA